rnacentral:rRNA from 1 species
UACGUAGGUGGCAAGCGUUGUCCGGAAUUAUUGGGCGUAAAGCGCGCGCAGGCGGUCCUUUAAGUCUGAUGUGAAAGCCCACGGCUCAACCGUGGAGGGUCAUUGGAAACUGGGGGACUUGAGUGCAGAAGAGGAAAGUGGAAUUCCACGUGUAGCGGUGAAAUGCGUAGAGAUGUGGAGGAACACCAGUGGCGAAGGCGACUUUCUGGUCUGUAACUGACGCUGAGGCGCGAAAGCGUGGGUAGCAAACAGG